CUGGGUCUGACAUGGAUCGGGAGCGCUCAGAGAUGGGUGUGCCUCUUUUGGGGUCGGUUCACAGGUGGUGCAUGGCUGUCGUCAGCUCGUGUCGUGAGAUGUUGGGUUAAGUCCCGCAACGAGCGCAACCCUUGUUCACUGUUGCCAGCACGUUAUGGUGGGGACUCAGUGGAGACCGCCGGGGUCAACUCGGAGGAAGGUGGGGAUGACGUCAAGUCAUCAUGCCCCUUAUGUCCAGGGCUUCACGCAUGCUACAAUGGCUGGUACAGAGAGUGGCGAGCCUGUGAGGGUGAGCGAAUCUCGGAAAGCCGGUCUCAGUUCGGAUUGGGGUCUGCAACUCGACCUCAUGAAGUCGGAGUCGCUAGUAAUCGCAGAUCAGCAACGCUGCGGUGAAUA
rnacentral:rRNA from 1 species